CCAAAAAUGGAAUCUUAAUCCUUUUUAGAGAGUCUAAUCUACUAAACUUGAUAGUCAAAAUUAUUACUAGUUUUAUAGAUUAUGGAAAUUAGAAUAAGACCAGUCUAAAACCUUAAAAAAUAUAAAAAUAUAUAUUUAGUAAUACUAGCACAUUAAGGUUAAUAAGGUGCCAGCAACCGCGGUCAAACCUUAUUAAUAAAUAAUUAUUUAACAAUCUAACUUAUUAGAUAUAUUUUUAUAUGGUGUAUGGUGAAAUGUCCCUAUAUAUAUAGAUCUAAAUAUAUCUACUACAAAAACAUAAAAUAAGACAAAAAACUAGGAUUAGAUACCCUAUUAUUCUUAACCAAUUAGCUAAAGAUUGAGGAGUACAAUUAAUAUAAACUCAAAAGUCAUGGCGGCUAUUAAAACUAAUUAGGGGAGCUUACCAAAUAAUUGAUAAUCACCAAGAUAUUCUUCUUUAGGUUAAAGUUUGUAUGCCGUCGUCAAAAAUUUUUCCAAGAAAAAUUUGUCCCUAUUUAUUUUUAUUUAAGACAGAUCAAGGUGCAGCUGAUACUUCAGAUUUAAGGCGAGCUACAAUAAUAAAUUAUUAACCCAUGUAAUUUUAAAAUAUUACUGAAGAUGGACUUAAAAGUAAUUAUAUAAAUUAAUAAAUAAUAACUGAAUUUUAUAUUUAAUAGUGC
rnacentral:rRNA from 1 species